rnacentral:tRNA from 1 species
CAGAAUAGAGCAUGAAUAAAUGCACCCCACUUACAAUGGGGGUAUAGAUAUUACAUCUUAUCCUGA